GAGAAAUUCGGACUAAUACCCCGUAAGUAUAGAGGGGGCAUCCUCUUUAUAUUAUAGAUUUAUUGAUGACGGAUAGGUAUGCGCAGCAUUAGGUAGUUGGUGAGGUAACGGCUCACCAAGCCGACGAUGCUUAGGGGAACUGAGAGGUUUAUCCCCCACACUGGUACUGAGACACGGACCAGACUCCUACGGGAGGCAGCAGUGAGGAAUAUUGGUCAAUGGACGAAAGUCUGAACCAGCCAUGCCGCGUGCAGG
rnacentral:rRNA from 1 species